rnacentral:rRNA from 1 species
CAUCCUACGGGACGCAGCAGUGGGGAAUAUUGCACAAUGGGGGAAACCCUGAUGCAGCGACGCCGCGUGAGUGAAGAAGUAAUUCGUUACGUAAAGCUCUAUCAGCAGGGAAGAAAAUGACGGUACCUGAGUAAGAAGCCCCGGCUAACUACGUGCCAGCAGCCGCGGUAAUACGUAGGGGGCAAGCGUUAUCCAGAAUGAUUGGGCGUAAAGGGUGCGUAGGCGGCCUGCUAAGUCUGGAGUGAAAGGUACCGGCUCAACCGGUACAGGCUCUGGAAACUGGCGGGCUAGAGAGCAGGAGAGGG